rnacentral:rRNA from 1 species
UAGUCCACGCCGUAAACGAUGGUCACUAGUUGUUGGGGCUUUAUGCCUCAGUGAUUAAGCGAAAGUGAUAAGUGACCCACCUGGGGAGUACGAUCGCAAGAUUGGAACUCAAAGGAAUUGACGGGGGCCCGCACAAGCGGAGGAACAUGUGGUUUAAUUCGAUGAUACGCGAGGAACCUUACCUGGGCUUAAAUGUAGGAUGCAUAAGGUGGAAACACUUUUUUCCUUCGGGACUUCUUACAAGGUGCUGCAUGGUUGUCGUCAGCUCGUGCCGUGAGGUGUCGGGUUAAGUCCCAUAACGAGCGCAACCCCUACCGUUAGUUGCCAUCAGGUCAUGCUGGGGACUCUAGCGGGACUGCCACCGUAAGGUGAGAGGAAGGUGGGGAUGACGUCAAAUCAGCACGGCCCUUAUGUCCAGGGCUACACACGUGUUACAAUGGCAGGUACAAAGGGCAGCUACACAGCAAUGUGAUGCUAAUCUCUAAAGCCUGUCCCAGUUCGGA